CCUACGGGAGGCUGCAGUGGGGAAUAUUGGACAAUGGGGGGAACCCUGAUCCAGCCAUGCCGCGUGUGUGAAGAAGGCCCUCGGGUUGUAAAGCACUUUCAGUGAGGAAGAACGCCUGGUGGUUAAUACCCAUCAGGAAAGACAUCACUCACAGAAGAAGCACCGGCUAACUCCGUGCCAGCAGCCGCGGUAAUACGGAGGGUGCGAGCGUUAAUCGGAAUUACUGGGCGUAAAGCGCGCGUAGGUGGCUUGAUAAGCCGGUUGUGAAAGCCCCGGGCUCAACCUGGGAACGGCAUCCGGAACUGUCAAGCUAGAGUGCAGGAGAGGAAGGUAGAAUUCCCGGUGUAGCGGUGAAAUGCGUAGAGAUCGGGAGGAAUACCAGUGGCGAAGGCGGCCUUCUGGACUGACACUGACACUGAGGUGCGAAAGCGUGGGUAGCAAAUAGGAUUAGAUACCCCAGUAGUC
rnacentral:rRNA from 1 species